rnacentral:rRNA from 1 species
UACAGAGGGGGCAAGCGUUAUUCGGAAUUACUGGGCGUAAAGCGUGCGCAGGCGGUUCGUCGUGUCCGAUGUGAAAGCCCCGGGCUCAACCUGGGAAUGGCAUUGGAAACUGGCGGACUCGAGUGUGGCAGAGGGGGGUGGAAUUCCGCGUGUAGCAGUGAAAUGCGUAGAGAUGUGGAGGAACACCGAUGGCGAAGGCAGCCCCCUGGGCUAACACUGACGCUCAUGCACGAAAGCGUGGGGAGCAAACAGG